AUUGAACGCUGGCGGCAGGCCUAACACAUGCAAGUCGAGCGGAGCGGCGGACGGGUGAGUAAUACCUAGGAAUCUGCCUGGUAGUGGGGGAUAACGUUCGGAAACGGACGCUAAUACAGCAUACUAUCAGCUGCGCCUAGUUCGGAUUAGCUAGUUGGUGAGUUAAUGGCUCACCAAGGCUACGAUCCGUACCUGGUCUGAGAGGAGGAUCAGUAACACUGGACCGGAGACACGGCCCAGACUCUUACGGGAGGAAGCAUUGGGGAAUAUUGGACAAGGGGCGAAAGCCGGACCCAGCCAGGCGGCUUGGGUGAAGAAGGUCUUCGGUUUGUAAAGCACUUUAAGUGGGGAGGCGUUACCGACACAAUAAGCACCGGCUAACUCUGUGCCAGCAGCCGCGGUAAUUC
rnacentral:rRNA from 1 species